rnacentral:rRNA from 1 species
CCUACGGGCGGCUGCAGUGGGGAAUAUUGGACAAUGGAGGCAACUCUGAUCCAGCCAUCCCGCGUGAAGGAUUAAGGCCCUCUGGGUUGUAAACUUCUUUUCUCUGGGAAUAAAAACCGGUAUUCAUAUCGGCUUGAAGGUACCAGAGGAAUAAGCACCGGCUAACUCCGUGCCAGCAGCCGCGGUAAUACGGAGGGUGCAAGCGUUAUCCGGAUUCACUGGGUUUAAAGGGUGCGUAGGUGGCUUUGUAAGUCAGUGGUGAAAUCUUAGAGCUUAACUCUAAAACUGCCAUUGAUACUGCUUAGCUUGAAUCAGGUCGAGGUGGAUGGAAUAUUACAUGUAGCGGUGAAAUGCUUAGAUAUGUAAUAGAACACCGAUUGCGAAGGCAGUUCACUAGGCCUGUAUUGACACUGAGGCACGAAAGCGUGGGGAUCAAACAGGAUUAGAUACCCCUGUAGUC